rnacentral:tRNA from 1 species
GGGAUUAUAGUUAAUAAUAACAUUUGAGUUGCAAUCAAAAAGUAUUGAUAAUCAAUUUAUCUCA